UACGGGGGGAGCAAGCGUUGUUCGGAUUUACUGGGCGUAAAGGGCGCGUAGGCGGUCGUGACAAGUCACUUGUGAAAUCUCCGAGCUUAACUCGGAAAGGUCAACUGAUACUGUGCGGCUAGAGUGCGGAAGGGGCAACUGGAAUUCUUGGUGUAGCGGUGAAAUGCGUAGAUAUCGAGAGGAACACCUGCGGCGAAGGCGGGUUGCUGGGCUGAUACUGACGCUGAGGCGCGAAAGCCAGGGGAGCGAACGGG
rnacentral:rRNA from 1 species